AUUGCGCUCGGUUGAGCAAAAUCAGGUAUCUGUUAUUUUUUUUUUUAAUAAUUCAUAAGAACCACAAUGGUCAAUGUGUUUUACAGUUAAAAACAAAAGUUAUGAAGCAAUAAGUUGGAUCGUGUGUCUCGGCGUAAUCCUACGUACAUCUCAAAAGCUCGCAGAGAACGGUGCUUAGAAUGCCGAAAAGCACAGAUAGUGGAUCGGGAGGAACCGAAGUGACGUUCCCACGGUGGGAGCACCCGCGGCGAAACCUCGUCGCGGUGUUGGGGCAGGACUUCUCUUUGCGGGCUAUCGUCGCCCGUAUGGUCAAGGCGUAGUUUCCUGUGAGAAAUUGGGGGAGGUGAAGGACCUCGACCCUUCUCUUCUCCCCUUCUUCCUCUCAGGAGGCGCCGGAGUCCGACAUAACCCGGUCCGUUACCCCCCUCGACCGGGUAUCCGUAAAUGGAUUGCCCAGCGUUAAAAAACAAAAAGGAGCCGAAGUGACGUGAUUUGGGUGAUGGAGACUGUUUAUCGUUGGUAAGGAAUAUAUAGUCAAUAGCUAUUACAAUGAACUUGCAGUUUUAUUCCCGUGUAAACAAGACUAACUUUAGAUUUUAUGAAAUGUUAUUGUCACCAUAACCACUAUUACGUAGAGAUAUAACUAUUAAAAUACAACAAAUACGGUCGCUCUUUGACCAUACACUUAAGAAAUAAGAAAGUUUUUUAAUCGACUUUCAUUUGUUUUAAGUUAAGUUAAUCAAUUACUCUAUCGUUUGUCGACAUAUUUUGAGUAUUAUUGAUUUAUUCAGAAGGGGUUAUCGAGGCGAACGAUUUGUUCAUUUUAGAUUAUACAGAAUGAAUUUCUGUCUUGGUGCUGUCUAAUGUGGAUAAUUUUCUUAUUAACAAUAGAAACUUUUAGAAUAAUUUGAGAAAAAAAUAUGGAAGAAAAGUUCCGUGAUUUCUUUUCAUUAAUAAUAAUGGAACAAUUAGUGUUUUAUUCGUUCUUUAAACAGUUAUAACAGGUUUCAGCACGCUUAAGAAAUACUUUAAUAGCUACAUACAUAAAAUAUUAUUUAAGUAACAUUGUAAAAUUUAAUAAUGGUUUUCGAAUAAAAAAAUCCUGGGUACAUAAUAAUGCAAACAAA